rnacentral:tRNA from 2 species
CGGGGUGUGGCGCAGUUGGUAGCGCGCGUCGUUCGGGACGACGAGGCCGCUGGUUCAAGUCCAGUCACCCCGACCA